UACGUAGGGGGCAAGCGUUGUCCGGAUUCAUUGGGCGUAAAGCGCGUGUAGGCGGCCAGGUAGGUCCGACGUGAAAACUGGAGGCUCAACCUCCAGCUGUCGUUGGAAACCAUCUGGCUAGAGUCCGGAAGAGGAGAGUGGAAUUCCUGGUGUAGCGGUGAAAUGCGUAGAGAUCAGGAAGAACACCGGUGGCGAAAGCGCUCUGCUAGGCCGCAACUGACACUGAGGGACGAAAGCUAGGGGAGCGAAUGGG
rnacentral:rRNA from 1 species